rnacentral:rRNA from 1 species
UACGUAGGGGGCAAGCGUUACCCGGAAUUACUGGGCGUAAAGCGCACGUAGGCGGCUUUCUAAGUCGGGGGUGAAAUCCUGGAGCUCAACUCCAGAACUGCCUUCGAUACUGGAGAGCUCGAGUCCGGGAGAGGUGAGUGGAACUGCGAGUGUAGAGGUGAAAUUCGUAGAUAUUCGCAAGAACACCGGUGGCGAAGGCGGGUCUACUGGGCCGAUACUGACGCUGAGGAGCGAAAGCGUGGGGAGCGAACAGG